AGUGGGGAAUCUUAGACAAUGGGGGCAACCCUGAUCUAGCCAUGCCGCGUGAGUGAUGAAGGCCCUAGGGUCGUAAAGCUCUUUCGCCUGUGAAGAUAAUGACGGUAGCAGGUAAAGAAGUCCCGGCUAACUCCGUGCCAGCAGCCGCGGUAAUACGGAGGGGACUAGCGUUGUUCGGAAUUACUGGGCGUAAAGCGCGCGUAGGCGGACUAUUAAGUCAGGGGUGAAAUCCCGGGGCUCAACCCCGGAACUGCCUUUGAUACUGGUAGUCUUGAGUUCGAGAGAGGUGAGUGGAACUCCGAGUGUAGAGGUGAAAUUCGUAGAUAUUCGGAAGAACACCAGUGGCGAAGGCGGCUCACUGGCUCGAUACUGACGCUGAGGUGCGAAAGUGUGGGGAGCAAACAGGAUUAGAUACCCUGGUAGUCCACACCGUAAACGAUGAAUGCCAGACGUCGGCAGGCAUGCCUGUCGGUGUCACACCUAACGGAUUAAGCAUUCCGCCUGGGGAGUACGGUCGCAAGAUUA
rnacentral:rRNA from 1 species